AUUCAUACUAUUGAAGAAAAAAUGUUUAUUGAUCAUUUAGCAGACGUACAGCAGGAAAUGGCGGGAAGAAUCCUAGCAGACGACAGUUGUCGCGCAGAUGCAAUCAUGCACCAUAUCAGACUGCCCGAAAUUACAGACUGGCCCAGCUCUAUACUGGACUCGCUUUCAGCAUGUUAGGGUUUGAAAAAGGAAAUCAUAACUUUGUAACGUAGCAGACGACAAUAAAUGUUAAAGUGGAAAAUUGCGACUUCCGGUGUGUCUGCUACUCGAUGUUGUGAUCUCAGUUACUUCCCCUGACGUUCAGUAUAUGAAAUGAGGGUCGAGUUUCGGGAUUUGAAAUUAAGAAAGAACGAAAGAUAUGAAAUGAGCACCGGCAAACUGAUCUUGGCAUGUUACAUCCUUAUCACAGAACUGGAACCUACUGAUUAUGAUGAGAAAUAUGGAACAUGGUAAAUUGAGCAGGUGAAGGAA